GAGUUUGAUCCUGGCUCAGAACGUACGCUGGCGGCACGCCUAACACAUGCAAGUCGAACGAAGUAGCAAUACUUAGUGGCAGACGGGUGAGUAACAUGUAGGUAUCUGCCCUUUGGCCUGGAAUAACACGAGGAAACUUGUGCUAAUACCGGAUAAGUCUUUACGGAGAAAGCUUUAUGCACCAUUGGAUGAGCCUGCACUUGAUUAGUUUGUUGGUGGGGUAAUGGCCUACCAAGACUGUGAUCAAUAGCUGAUUUGAGAGGAUGAUCAGCCACAUUGGGACUGAGACACGGCCCAAACUCCUACGGGAGGCAGCAGUGGGGAAUCUUGCACAAUGGAGGAAACUCUGAUGCAGCGAUGCCGCGUGAGUGAAGAAGGCCCUUGGGUUGUAAAGCUCUUUCGUCGGGGAAGAAAAUGACUGUACCCGAAUAAGAAGGUCCGGCUAACUUCGUGCCAGCAGCCGCGGUAAUACGAAGGGACCUAGCGUAGUUCGGAAUUACUGGGCUUAAAGAGUUCGUAGGUGGUUGAAAAAGUUAGUGGUGAAAUCCCAGAGCUUAACUCUGGAACUGCCAUUAAAACUUUUCAGCUAGAGUAUGAUAGAGGAAAGCAGAAUUUCUAGUGUAGAGGUGAAAUUCGUAGAUAUUAGAAAGAAUACCAAUUGCGAAGGCAGCUUUCUGGAUCAUUACUGACACUGAGGAACGAAAGCAUGGGUAGCGAAGAGGAUUAGAUACCCUCGUAGUCCAUGCCGUAAACGAUGUGUGUUAGACGUUGGAAAUUUAUUUUCAGUGUCGCAGGGAAAC
rnacentral:rRNA from 1 species